rnacentral:rRNA from 1 species
UAUGUGAUCGUCUCUCGCAUAUCAAUAAGCGGAGGAAAAGAGGGCUAUUACCUACGCUUAGGAUGUUGACACACGCGCGUGCUCGACUCUAUACAUGACUCUGUGCAUAUCAAUAAGCGGAGGAAAAGAAACUAACAAGGAUUCCCCUAGUAACGGCGAGUGAAGCGGGAAGAGCUCAAAUUUGAAAUCUUAAAGGGUUUCCCUUUACGAAUUGUAGUUUAAAGAAGUGUUUUCAUGUUGAGGUUUUGGUAAAAGUUCUUUGGAAUAGGACAUCAUAGAGGGUGAGAAUCCCGUAUUUGACCUUUACUUUCAACUUUGUGAUACACUUUCAAAGAGUCGGAUUGUUUGGGAAUGCAGUCCAAAAUGGGUGGUAAAUUUCAUCUAAAGCUAAAUAUUGGCGAGAGACCGAUAGCGAACAAGUACCGUGAGGGAAAGAUGAAAAGAACUUUGAAAAGAGAGUUAAACAGGUACGUGAAAUUGUCAAAAGGGAAGCGUUUGACACCAGUGUUGUUUUUCUGAAAAUCAAUUAAAGAACUGUUUAUGCUAAGUUGUUUAGACUUUAUCAGCUAUCUGCUUAGUUUUGAGCUUUUCUUUAAUGCACUUUUCAGUUAACAAGUCAACAUCAAUUUCUUUUGCUGUAAAAAAGCUUGAGGAAGGUGGCUUGAGAUUCGUCUUAAGUGUUUAUAGCCUCUUGCCUAUGCAGUCGGAGAGAUUGAGGUCUGCAGCGUAGAUCCUUCGGGGCUAAAUGCAUUUGUGCUAAGUUAUAGCAUUUUAUAGACAACUUGUUGACUAUGAUUUGUCUUGUAGCUUACUCGCUUAUGUUAUUUUACCUACGCUUAGGAUGUUGAUCUACAGAGCGAGAGU